CACGUAGGGCGCAAGCGUUGUCCGGAAUUAUUGGGCGUAAAGAGCUCGUAGGUGGUUUGUUACGUCUGCUGUGAAAACCUAGGGCUUAACCCUGGGCUUGCAGUGGAUACGGGCAGACUAGAGGUAGGUAGGGGAGAAUGGAAUUCCUGGUGUAGCGGUGAAAUGCGCAGAUAUCAGGAGGAACACCGGUGGCGAAGGCGGCAUCCUGGACCGACACUGACGCUGAGGAGCGAAAGCCAGGGGAGCAAACGGG
rnacentral:rRNA from 1 species